rnacentral:lncRNA from 1 species
UAGUGUCAUCAGGGACUUCGUAUUCGGGGUCGAUCAUGCCGCGGUAUGAGAGGGCCGAUCUGCAGAAUAGAUUCUCUUUCCAUUCUGCCCACCAUAGCUUGUAUGUCUGAGUGAUAAAGGCAGCUGGAACCCAUUCUGACAGAUCUACAUCUGUAUCGGCAUUUGGUGGUAGCUGGGCUACUCGAGUCCACUCGAGGAGGUUGGCGAUGGG